UCUCCGUUUAUUCUUUCACCUCGUCUUGUCGAAUCCAGCGAAUCCUUCCGAUUCUGGAAUCGGAGGAAGGUAAGAGGCAGCCAUCUUGAUUCGUCCCUUCGAUGUCCUCUUUCUCCGGUGGGUUUCCACCUCCUUUAGAGCCAUCGAUUUCUCCUAUCAACCGGACGCGUGACGCACGCAGAAGAGGGUGCGGGGCGGCUUUUGGUGGGAUCUGUCGCCAUGGAUGAACAGUUCUCCGAAACUUCCCAGGGAAACUUCAACAGGGAGAAGGCAACUAAGUUAUCGGUGGGCUUGUGCUGUUGUUCCUUGUUGGCAACUAUGAGCUCUUAUGCUCAAAAGACACUUCCACCGAGGAAGAAGAAGCCUGUGUCCAAAAAGAAGUUGAAGAUCACUGCACCAGGAGAAUGAACUCGUUGCCCACCAAAAUGAAGCCGAGAAGGGAAAGCCCAGUGACUGUUUACUAGUUUAUUUCUGUCCCAUGAUUUAAGCCUUUUAACCUCAAAUUUUUGCUGUCCUGUUUGCAUCAGAGACUCGUCAGAAAAGCAAGGCUGGUUAAGAAUUCGUCGUUGAUUCCUUCCUCUGACCACCUGCACAAAAUCUAUUUGAGUAUUGAUUUUACCUUACAAAUUCUUUUCUUAUUGGGUGAGAAUAUACUAUCAGGCUUGUAGAGUUUGAGGUCUUUUCUUCUCCUCCAGAAUUCUGAACUGUCCCAUAAGAUUUACCAAACACCAAAGGAGUGUUUUUGCUGACUCCUUUGGUCACUCAUUGUCUAUUAAGAAAGGCUUGUAACUAUUUACUGUGCCUUGUAUGGUUGAUUGAUUCCUUUUAUUGUGCAACAGUGUGUUUUACAA